rnacentral:tRNA from 1 species
GAAAAUGAUGGUUUAACUCCUUCCCUUACUA